AAGGCUUUAAGUUAAGAUAAACUAAUAUCCUUCAAAGCUACAAAUAAAGAAACUCUUUAAGCCUUA
rnacentral:tRNA from 4 species